rnacentral:tRNA from 1 species
GGCUUAAGUCCUUUACCCAGAGGUUCAAAUCCUCUCCCUAGCC